rnacentral:rRNA from 1 species
CAGCGCCGCGGGAAUACGUAGGGUGCAAGCGUUAAUCGGAAUUACUGGGCGUAAAGCGUGCGCAGGCGGUUAUAUAAGACAGAUGUGAAAUCCCCGGGCUCAACCUGGGAACUGCAUUUGUGACUGUAUAGCUAGAGUACGGCAGAGGGGGAUGGAAUUCCGCGUGUAGCAGUGAAAUGCGUAGAUAUGCGGAGGAACACCGAUGGCGAAGGCAAUCCCCUGGGCCUGUACUGACGCUCAUGCACGAAAGCGUGGGGAGCAAACAGGAUUAGAUACCCGGGUAGUCCCUGUCUCUUAUACA